rnacentral:misc_RNA from 1 species
GAAAUGCGAUAAGUAAUGUGAAUUGCAGAAUUCAGUGAAUCAUCGAAUCUUUGAACGCACAUUGCGCCCGCCAGUAUUCUGGCGGGCAUGCCUGUCCGAGCGUCAUUUCAACCAUCAAGCCCCCGGGCUUGUGUUGGGGACCCGCGGCUGCCCGCAGGCCCUGAAAACCAGUGGCGGGCUCGCUGUCACACCGAGCGUAGUAGCAAUCACCUCGCUCAGGGCGUGCUGCGGGUUCCGGCCGUUAAACAGCCUUACAAAACCCAAGGUUGACCUCGGAUCAGGUAGGAAGACCCGCUGAACUUAAGC